GAUCUCCAAAUUUUACCAGUUGCA
rnacentral:siRNA from 1 species